ensembl:lncRNA
CAGCACGUGACCCGAGUCACAGCCGCGCCCACUUGCCAAUUAGCAGCUGCGUGACACGAGGGUGACCCGCAGCUUGCUCCCUUUUAAUUCACCUGAAUUAAUUACCGACGUUACCGUUAAUAAAGUGUAUCGAGGAAGAAGAGCUUCUCCCUGGAGUUUCCAGGAGCGACCGGAUGUUGCUGCUCGACAGCAGAUGAAAAGAGACUCCGGAUUCUUGGCGAUGGAUGGAUGGAUGGAUGGAUGGAUGGAGACCUCCAGGCCUGAGGGUCGUCAAAGUAAACAUUUGUUUUUCUUGUGUCCUCGACCUUUUCUGCACCGCUGUAAACGUCCGUAUGGCCCCUUCUUCCUCGCUCCUCGCCUCCUCUGUCCUCGCCCCCCUCCGGCCCCUCGGUGUCGUCUGGACUUCCUCGCCGAUCACGGCCUCCUCUCUUCUGCCUCUCCGACUUCUGUAAUUCUGCUCGCUCUCCCCUUCCUGAGUAAUUGAAGUAAUUUCCCACCUUGGCUAUGAUGAAUGUGUCCCACGCUCCCGCCAUGCCCUUCUACUUUAGCCGGCCUAAUUAAAGAAAACAUUCCAUGAUUGCCUAUUUUUCCUCGAGCGUGACAACCUAUUAUUCUCCCCAGCACCUGAUUAGAGAGUUAUUAUGCUUAGAUUUAGAUUGAUUUAACCG